CCGUGGUUCCCUGCAGACUGGCAGGAGCAGAUUCCAAAGGCACAGGAAGAAGCUUGCAGUACAAAGAUAAAAAUCUAAAGUGGUUGCUGUGGAGGACAGGGGUCAGUGGUGGAAGUGAGACCGAAAUAGACUCUGAAGUAAUAUCUGGACUUUGAAAUUGCAGCUGCUCCCAACCCCAGAACCUUUGCUGUCUUGGGACGGAUCACCGCUGCAAGAGGGGAAGUUGCUACUGUGAUGAAUUCUGCCAUGUGGCACCAGACUGCCACCCAGACCACAGUGUCCUCUGCAACCCUGCUUCUCAGAUGACCAAGAUGGUGCUGCAGAUGGUGCUGAGGAUGGAGAACCCACCAAGCCCCGCUAGGAGCCACCUAGACUGGAUGCAGAGCAUGGUUCAGUGAGUUCUCCAAACCAGCCUCCCAGGAAUGCCAUUCAACAUGGCUGUGAGGAGAAUAAAGAAGAGAGCCUGACUCCUCUCCUGAGGCCCCUUCCCCACCCUGAGCCAGCAGGAUCCAC
rnacentral:lncRNA from 1 species